rnacentral:snoRNA from 2 species
CCCCUCUCAGGAUAGCACCUGGAGAGUUUCCAGUACUCUACCGGUCUCGACUAUGGGAGGAAGAGUCAGACAGAGGCCUAACCAUUCCAUUCCUAACUUGGUCAGUGGCUAAGCGAGUGGAAGGCAAUCUGCUACAAGU